rnacentral:tRNA from 1 species
AAGGGUGUAGCUCAGUGGUAGAACACUUGCCUAAUAAGCACAAGGUCCUGGGUUCAAUCCCCAGUACCUCCA